GACGAACGCUGGCGGCGUGCCUAAUACAUGCAAGUUGAGCGAUGAAGAUUGGUGCUUGCACCAAUUUGCAGAGCAGCGAACGGGUGAGUAACGCGUGGGGAAUCUGCCUUUGAGCGGGGGACAACAUUUGGAAACGAAUGCUAAUACCGCAUAAUAACUUUAAACAUAAGUUUUAAGUUUGAAAGAUGCAAUUGCAUCACUCAAAGAUGAUCCCGCGUUGUAUUAGCUAGUUGGUGAGGUAAAGGCUCACCAAGGCGAUGAUACAUAGCCGACCUGAGAGGGUGAUCGGCCACAUUGGGACUGAGACACGGCCCAAACUCCUACGGGAGGCAGCAGUAGGGAAUCUUCGGCAAUGGACGAAAGUCUGACCGAGCAACGCCGCGUGAGUGAAGAAGGUUUUCGGAUCGGAAAACUCUGUUGGUAGAGAAGAACGUUGGUGAGAGUGGAAAGCUCAUCAAGUGACGGUAACUACCCAGAAAGGGACGGCUAACUACGUG
rnacentral:rRNA from 1 species